UAUUAUUUAGACACAACGCAAUAUGCGAGUUAGUUGUGGGCAAAUAUUUAUUUUGAGGUAGGUACACCUUUUUUGAGAAAGGUUUGCCCCAGUGGUGGUAAACAUCCACAUUGAGGAGAAAAAAUUGUAUAAACCACCUUUUGGUCACACAACAGAUAUAUUAUAUAUCGUACCAGUGACACGGCCAAUAUAGGAUUUUCUACGUUAUACUUUCUCAAAUUUAAAUCAGUGGGAGAGCGGGGGCCGCACAAUAAGAAGGUGUUUUUUCUGGAUAGGGAGGAGAGAAAAAAAAUAAAUGAGAUCUUAAAACCACUCGGUCCGCCUGUAACACCCAGAUACUCCCCUCGCUUUUUUAUUUGCGCCUUCUUAUUAUUGGGGGGGAGGCGCCCCCCCCAAAUUACUUCCGGAAGUGGUUGAGAUUUUUUUAGAACAAGAGUUGGCCUCCAAAAAAAACCGUCUGGUAGCAAUGCCUAGAUGGCAUGAAAGUGCGAACCGUUUUAAAAGAAGGGAGGGGCAAACCGGGUGAGUAACAGGGGGAAAACCCUCCCUGGGAGUGGGGAAUAACUCCUCAAAAGGGGAGCUAAUCCCGCAUGACGUCCCGGGGGGGCAUCCCCGGGGGACCAAAGGGGGCGCGCGCAAGCGGCGCCCGCUGUCGGAGGGGCCUGCGGCGGAUUAGCUAGUUGGUAGGGUAACGGCCUACCAAUGCGAAGAUCCGUAGCCGACCUGAGAGGGUGACCGGCCACACUGGAUCCCGACACGGCGCAGGCUCCUACGGGAGGUCGNAUGUGGGAGUAUCUAGAAGAUCUC
rnacentral:sRNA from 1 species